rnacentral:rRNA from 1 species
UAGAAUGGGGGUAAUACUGUAUAAUCCCUGCGGGGGAAAGAUUUAUCGCUAUUAGAUGAGCCUAUGUUAGAUUAGCUAGUUGGUAGGGUAAAGGCCUACCAAGGCGAUGAUCUAUAGCUGGUCUGAGAGGAUGAUCAGCCACACUGGAACUGAGAUACGGUCCAGACUCCUACGGGAGGCAGCAGUGGGGAAUAUUGGACAAUGGGCGCAAGCCUGAUCCAGCUAUGCCGCGUGAGUGAGGAAGGCCUUAGGGUUGUAAAACUCUUUCAGUAGGGAAGAUAAUGACGGUACCUACAGAAGAAGCCCGGCAAACUCCGUGCCGCAGCCGCGGUAAUACGGAGGGGGCAAGCGUUGUUCG